UACGAAGGGGGGCUAGCGUUGCUCGGAAUUACUGGGCGUAAAGCGUGCGCAGGCGGUUUUGUAAGUCUGACGUGAAAUCCCCGGGCUUAACCUGGGAAUUGCGUUGGAGACUGCAAGGCUGGAGUCUGGCAGAGGGGGGUAGAAUUCCACGUGUAGCAGUGAAAUGCGUAGAGAUGUGGAGGAACGACCGGUGGCGAAGGCGGCAUCCUGGACCGGCAUUGACGCUGAGGCGGCGAAAGCGUGGGGAGCAAACAGGG
rnacentral:rRNA from 1 species